rnacentral:rRNA from 1 species
AUUUGGGGAAUAUUGCACAAUGGGGGGAACCCUGAUGCAGCCAUGCCGCGUGUAUGAAGAAGGCCUUCGGGUUGUAAAGUACUUUCAGUUGUGAGGAAGGCGUUAAAGUUAAUAGCUUUAGCGUUUGACGUUAGCAACAGAAGAAGCACCGGCUAACUCCGUGCCAGCAGCCGCGGUAAU